rnacentral:rRNA from 1 species
UUGAACGCUGGCGGCAUGCCUUACACAUGCCCGUCGAACGGCAGCACGGGUGCUUGCACCUGGUGGCGAGUGGCGAACGGGUGAGUAAUACAUCGGAACAUGUCCUGUAGUGGGGGAUAGCCCGGCGAAAGCCGGAUUAAUACCGCAUACGAUCUACGGAUGAAAGCGGGGGACCUUCGGGCCUCGCGCUAUAGGGUUGGCCGAUGGCUGAUUAGCUAGUUGGUGGGGUAAAGGCCUACCAAGGCGACGAUCAGUAGCUGGUCUGAGAGGACGACCAGCCACACUGGGACUGAGACACGGCCCAGACUCCUACGGGAGGCAGCAGUGGGGAAUUUUGGACAAUGGGCGAAAGCCUGAUCCAGCAAUGCCGCGUGUGUGAAGAAGGCCUUCGGGUUGUAAAGCACUUUUGUCCGGAAAGAAAUCCUUGGCCCUAAUACGGUCGGGGGAUGACGGUACCGGAAGAAUAAGCACCGGCUAACUACGUG